UUAGUUUGGAGUCAGAUCUGACUUUGUCUCUAACUUUCUGUUAUGGGACUUGAGACGGUGCUUCAGACUUUCAGUGAGAGAUGUUGACAUGAACACUAAUGUGUCACAUCUAAAUUACACUGAUAUUGACUAUGAACACCAUCAUAAAUUGAUUAUUAUAUUUUAAAUGUUGUGGUAAAAGUAAAUGUAGUAGAGUAUUGUGUAUUAACAGCAGUGAAAUACGUCUCAUGUUCAUACUCAGGCUUAUACUAAAACAAAAGAGUUCAGUUUUACUGCGCUAAAGUAUUUCCUAUGAGUUAAAUCAUGUUUUUCAUCUCUGUUUCAGAAUAUACUAUGGUUAAUAAGAAGAUGGACAUAAGGGCCUGAUAAAGACCCUCUGGAGAAUUCCCUCUGCUGGGCCAAGUUCCAAAAAUGUAGAGACAGACCCUCUAACCUGCUGUGGUGGAGUUUAAAGACUGACCCUCUAUGCUGUGAGAAAGGGGAAGCCCAGAGCUGGACACUGACAGACUGGAUCUUCACCAGUAGGACUGAAGAGGAGCCAGACUCACUACACCUCUGCCUCAAAACCUCUGCCUCAGACUGAAGCUAAAGACAGAGGCUCUGAAGCUCCCACACUGCACACUCUAUAAGAACAACCAUCCAUCUAAUUGUUCUGUGGUGGUAAACACAAGUUAAGUUUUAGUUUGAACAGUAUGGUAUGGCUACACUCUGUCUCAUCUGUCCAGGCUUUUACUCAUAUAGCUUAUAUUUGUUUUUUGCCAUUUAAAAAAAAACAAAAACUUUGCUUAACUUGAAUUAUUUUUAGUAAAAACUGUAAAUUGUCAUUUUCAUAUUAAGAAUGAAGCAUUGGUUAACUUAAAGGGUAUAUAAGUCCUAUAACAUUAAUAAUGAUUAUUCAUGUCCUAAGAUUUCUAAUUAAUGAUUUAAAUAAAUAUUGUUUACAAUGUAAAAAAAAAAAAAUAACUAAUGAGAUUUAGUGAUAGGA